rnacentral:lncRNA from 1 species
AUGAACCUUAAUCUUCACUUUAUUCUGCAUAUAAUAUCUGUUUUGGGGUUUUUAAAAAUUUUGUUUGUUACUUGUUUUUUGUUUAACUGCUACUCAGGACAGUUUCCCUUUAGGAGUCGGGCUGCCAUGUUUGUGAGGUCAUAUAACUGUCUGGGGUUCACUUGGGAGAGCUUGGAAGGUUGCCACUGCCUGCACUUCCUCUUCUGUCACAGACCUGGUCGGGUCGUGGGCUGUGGGGACAGUGCGUCCAUUUUAGGACUAAGGCAGUCAACGCUCCAGGUCCGUGCAUUCUCCAUCCACAGAGUAUUGAACAGGAGCUUGCUGUGGAUGGUUUUCCUGCCGCAAACUUGGCUGUUCUCUUUGGAGGAGGAGCCCAGAGCUUCACUGUCACUGGGAAUGGCUGCUGUUUUCAUCAGGGGAGCUCUGAUUUUCACCGUGAGCAUCACAUCCGGCUCCAAAAUGGAUCGCUCAGCUUAGUGGCACAAAUCCUUCAGCUCACCAGAGUAGGUUUUCUGGCUCCCACCACUGGCUUUUGGACCUUCCAGGUGCAGAUCCUCAAUACAGACAAGCAUGAGACAUUGCCAUGGGCUCUAGGCCGCUGGCUGGACUCUAGGUGGACUUUGCUUUGGAUUCUAAGCUUUUAGGUGGACUUGUCUGGGAAACUGCUGGGAUCUAGGCCCUCACCUGAAUUCUUUGGGCCUUUAGUGUGAAGUUAAUCUCUUUCACUCCUUUGCAUUUGACUCUUUGGGUAAUUAUCAUAAAAUAAUCUUAUAAAUUAUGUGUCCUGUAUUUAAUGUAUUCCCUUGCCAAAACUGUGACUACAACACCUGUAGGGGAAUGGUGACUCUCACAACUAGGCCACACAUUUUGGUUACCUGAUAUUGAGGCCAGGUUUGAGUGGGUAGGUGUAUUAAAUGCCAUUUAGGUUUUAGAUUUAAGCCCUUCGGAUUUCAGAGCAAGCACCCUAAGGGAGAGACCACCACAGCCCAUAGUCACCAGGAAUGAGACUGGGCGUGAGGUCCAAUCCCAAGACGUCUCUUGAGAUUUGGAAGUCACCGAUAGUCUUUCUAGAUUCCGAACCUAGAAAGAGGGGACCUUAACUCCAAAUGGAGACGUCUCUACUAUGAGGAGGGGAUCCGGAGGAAGAGGGCCGCACCACCUUCUCGAGGUGUCCCAAGAGAGGUAGGGGUGGAACGGGCAAGUCCCGGACUUGUCCCGGAGGCUCACAAUGGAUGGAAGAUGUGAGGCCUGGUACCCUUGGGACCACACCUUGGGUGGAAGUCUCUCUCCAGGUCCCCUGAGUCCAAGUCCCCCCCCCACUCUAGACCGUCACAAGGGGACUUACCCAAAAGUCUGGGGGUGAUGGGAUCAGUCUGGGGGUGUUGUUUGCUGGGGUGGCGUCAGGGAAGAUGGUCGCGGACUUCAGGUGGGCCAGUCGGAGCGUCAGGGGUCUUGGGUUUCAAGCCUCUGACCUUAAUUAAGCCAGGGCACUGGCAAUCCCAGAGCCCACUUCCCACACCAAUGUAGAGGCACAGCGAUGCUCAACAACUAGGCCACACACCGAGAGGUCUGACAGGAGACUUUAUUAGGGAGGUUAGGGAGAGAGGAGAGAGGAAAGAGAGACAGGAGAGAGGAGAGAUAAGGAAGGUCCUUUUAUUGAUUUGGGGCUGGGCUAUUGCCUAUUUAUGAGGAGUGGGCUACUUUCAACCUAUCACAGGCCAGGUUGCCUUUUACGGGUUCAGUCCUGCAGAAACUUAGGUUUAACUUCUCCAGACUGCUGUGGCCUUGGGGGAAGGGAAACUAAAGAUAAGAGCAUGAGGUCAUUUUAAGGCAAGAAGAACAAAGAAAAUGCAGCCUGUGAUGGCGGGCAUCAGGUCCCUAACAAUACCCCCCUCUAAGGAAGUACCCCUAACUGCCAUAAGGGGACGGGUGAAGACAUUUUGGCUACUUUCAGCUGAAGAGGGUCAUAGUUGUGACCCCACAGAGGGUCUAUGUAAAGGCCCUCCACAGGUGCCAGGCGUCCUAAUCUUGGGUAGACAUAUAGCUUUAAGUCUGGAGGAGACAAAGCCAAAGAAGCAGGAAUACAUGGCCCUGGGCCAGAGAUGUAGCUCAGUGGUGCCACACCUGUCUGGCAAGCGCAAGAUCCUGAGUUUGAUCCAAUAAAAAACCAAAUCAAACCAAAACAAUGCAUGGGCCAAAUAACAAGAUCAGCAAGAUUGUUAUGAAUAUUGCCAACAAGCAUUUCCACCAGGAGGA